UACAGGGGGUGCAAACGUUGCUCGGAAUCAUUGGGCGUAAAGCGCACGUAGGCGGUCUGUUAUGUCGGAUGUGAAAGCCCUUGGCUCAACUGAGGAAGUGCAUCCGAAACUGGCAGGCUAGAGUACUAAAGAGGAUCGCGGAAUUCCCGGUGUAGAGGUGAAAUUCGUAGAUAUCGGGAGGAACACCGGUGGCGAAGGCGGCAUCCUGGACCGGUAUUGACGCUGAGGCGCGAAAGCUAGGGGAGCAAACGGG
rnacentral:rRNA from 1 species